rnacentral:rRNA from 1 species
UACGUAGGGGGCAAGCGUUGCCCGGAUUUAUUGGGCGUAAAGCGCUCGCAGGUGGUUCGUCGCGUCGUGCGUGAAAGACCCCGGCUCAACUGGGGGAGGUCGUGCGAUACGGGCGGACUGGAGGCCAGUAGGGGGAUGCGGAAUUCCGGGUGUAGUGGUGGAAUGCGUAGAGAUCCGGAGGAACACCAGCGGCGAAGGCGGCAUCCUGGACUGGUCCUGACACUCAUGAGCGAAAGCGUGGGGAGCGAUCCGG